rnacentral:lncRNA from 1 species
CUCGUUUCGCCAACCUAAACCGACCUUGUGGUGAGCUGCACUCCACCCACAACAGUCAACAGCAUAAGAGGCUUGCUCUCCCCGUUGUAUAAUCCACGAAAUUCAUCUCACACUUCCAGCUGGUAAUUGGCUCUAAUAUCAACACACGCUUAACUCUCUUAACCUCUUGGGCCUAGCUGUAAGGUACCGGACUUCUAAAAUUAUGAAGUUACGGUGUACAUUUGGUUUGAAAGCCAUUUGAAUGAUUCCGGUGAGGUUGCGGUGGAAUGUAAUAUACCGGAUUUUAAAUAUAAAAAUGAAAAUAAAUAAAAAUAGUAUGAGAUACUAUUUUUAUUGGAUUUAGAGGAGUAAAACAUAAGUCAGUAGUGACUUGUGCUGAAAUCGGAAUAAAAACAGAAGAUAUAGAAUUUUCUGUUGGAGACGGGACAGAAAAAUAAGCAGAAAAUGCACAGUCUCAGAAAAUUAUGAAAAUUGGCGAAGAUGUCAGAAAUAUUUUUAUGAGACUAGAUUUAAAGUUUCAUAUUUUUCUGACACCUGUAGAGUGAGAAAUAAAAUCCGACAGCUAU